UACGAGUGCCCCAAGCGUUAUCCGGAAUUAUUGGGCGUAAAGGGUGUGUAGGCGGUCCUCCCCGCUCAGCGGGGUUUACAGCUAGUCUCUCGUUAAAGCUCGGGGCUUAACUCCGAAAAUGCGAGAGAAACGGCGGGACUAGAGAGUGCGAGAGGUUUAUGGAACUCAUGGUGUAGGGGUGAAAUCCGUUGAUAUCAUGGGGAACACCAAAGGCGAAGGCAGUAAACUGGCGCACGUCUGACGCUGAAACACGAAAGCGUGGGUAGCGAAUGGG
rnacentral:rRNA from 1 species